UACGAAGGGGGCUAGCGUUGCUCGGAAUCACUGGGCGUAAAGCGCACGUAGGCGGACUCUUAAGUCGGGGGUGAAAUCCUGGAGCUCAACUCCAGAACUGCCUUCGAUACUGGGAGUCUUGAGUUCGGGAGAGGUGAGUGGAACUGCGAGUGUAGAGGUGAAAUUCGUAGAUAUUCGCAAGAACACCAGUGGCGAAGGCGGCCAACUGGACCAACACUGACGCUGAGGUGCGAAAGCGUGGGGAGCAAACAGG
rnacentral:rRNA from 1 species